rnacentral:lncRNA from 1 species
CCACGAUAAUCUACCUUCGAAGCUCAAAUUUCCAAGACCGCCAAAGUAAACCCCGUUCUCGAUUCUCCUUCCCUGCGCAUCGAAUCUUUGGAUUGCGGUGAUCGGAAAGUACUUUCCUUUGUCUGAACUUUCCCCCUGAAAAUCAGAUCAGAUCGCAUUCAGAACUGACUGGGAAAGAAAACCGAUUGGAUGGAUGAGUAUCUGAACCUACCUGAGAGGUGAACACGAGCAUCCAGGUCCGUCCAGGUGACUCAGUCCCGCCUAGAGUGCUCAGAUCGAUCUCGCUCGGCGCCUUCUUCUUGAUCUCUGCGAAUGCGGAGAGGAUCUCUGAUGACGGAACUUGCCUCGUCUUCGCCGCAGCCUUCAGCACUUCCACAUGCUUCCGCGUCUCUUCCUGCACGCGUGACUCAGAUCACUGGAAAGGAAAAUAGAUAGAUAUGAAGAAGGAAUCGAAGUUGGUGCUAGUCUAGUCUAGUAUAUACUACUAACGGCGGAGGUGAUCGGUGGCCGGAUAUCGGCUGAGGCGGAGAUUCGAACGGAGGAAAUUUGGGGUUUCGAGGGAAGGCGGAGAUGUGGGAGUGGUGAAAUUGAAAUUGAAGAAACGGAAGAGAGAACGUUACUUGCUGCCAUCGUCUCACUCACAAGCUUGGAAUUUCG